rnacentral:lncRNA from 1 species
CCUUGCUCUUCUCUCCGUUCUCCCGCCUCCCUUUCCCCCGUGGUUAUUUUGGAUCAAGCUGUGGCGGCGGAAGGAGCCUGAAGUCAACGCUUCCGCCCAGUUUUCCUGUGAGGAGGAGGCGGGGGCGGCCGCGAGGAGCCGAGGCGGCGGCAGCGGCCGCUAAUGGAGUUACUGCUGGGGAGGAAGCGCCGCCGCUGAACUUCCCUGCGGGCUUUCUCCCUCUUCUCCCCCUCGUCCUGCGGCCGGGGGCUCCUCUCUCGCCCUGGCAGCUCCGCUCCCCCUCCCUCCCCGCGCCUCUCCUCACACAAACAGCCGUGACGCAUCCUCGUUCUCCGCCGUCCCCCCCCUUCCCACCCCCAGGCUGGUUUAAAACGCCUCCCUCCCCCCGUCACCAGCCUUCUCCUUGGGGCCGGCGCGUCUUCCCUCCGCAGUGGUCGGCGUCGCUUUGGAGGGGGUGGGAGAGCCCCGUCGAGCGUCUCUACCCCCCUUUUCCCGUCCCCCCCCCUUCCUUCCCCGCCUGUCCCGGCCUGUGGCAGCUCCGGUGUCUGGAGGAAUUUGUGCCGCCGCCUGCCCCGGCUGUGCGCGGGAGGCGGGCGGGCAGGGAGGGAGGCGGCCGAGCAGCAGGAGGAGGAGAAGGAGGAGGAGGGCAGCAGCGAAGGCGGCUGCAGCGGGAGAUGAGCUGCAGCGGGAGGACGGUGCGGUGCAGCUUUUUGCGGCAGGAAUCCGUCCCUUGUCUCUACAACUCUGUCCCCCUUUAACCGGGAGCAGCUCGAGAACAGAAGAUCCGUGGUUGUUGCUGCUGUUAGCACCACUACCUUCACCACCACCAUCAUCACCUUUUAAGAUAAGGGAAAUACGCUGCACCGCCGGACAACAGGAUUUCGCGUUUCCAGGAUAAAGACCGCUCUCCUCCCCCUUUUCCCUUCUUCUCCCUCACUUCACCGCACGGCCCGUGCCCUGGCCGGGGGCGGCGGACCGGGGGGGUAACAAUGGUGAAGUUUCUGGUGAGUUCUGGCUGCGCCCUGGCUGCGUCGGUGCUGCUCCGUGUGCCUGU